rfam:Spinacia oleracea cultivar SynViroflay scaffold71447.1, whole genome shotgun sequence.
AACCUAUUAGCUCAAAUAGUAGAGCACUAUGCAUAUGCAUAUGGGAUGUAGGUUCGAUUCCUACAUAGGUUG